GGAGUGUGUGGAUUUGAUGAGCCAUGCCGCGUGUGUGAGAAGGUCUUCGGAUUGUAAAGCACUUUCAGUUGGGAGGAAGGGCAGUAAGCUAAUACCUUGCUGUUUUGACGUUACCGACAGAAUAAGCACCGGCUAACUCUGUGCCAGCAGCCGCGGUAAUAA
rnacentral:rRNA from 1 species